AGCGAACGCUGGCGGCGUACUUAACACAUGCAAGUCGAACGAGGAGCUUCGGUGUAGCAAUACAUCGGAGCUUCGAGUGGCGCACGGGUGAGUAACACGUGGGCAACCUGCCCUAGAGUUCGGGAUACCCUCUCGAAAGGGAGGCUAAUACCGGAUACGUUCUUCGGAUCGCAAGGUCUGGAGAGGAAAGGUGGCGAAAGCUGCCGCUCUUGGGGGACGG
rnacentral:rRNA from 1 species